rnacentral:tRNA from 1 species
GAAGGUAUAGCUCAGUUAGAGCACAUGCUUAGCAUGCAUGAGGUCCUGGGUUCAAUCCCCGGUACCUCCA